AAAGCUCGGAGGCCAACGUUUUCCUGCUGGACGUUCAGGAAUUCUGUGAUGUGCGUGAUAUUUCACGUUGCUUAUUCUGUGUUUUGUUGUACACUAAGCUUGUGGCAGUACAAUCUAAUCUCCAAUAGGAACUUUAUUUUUAUAAGUUCCCCGAAGCUUGGAUUGUUUGCACUCGUUCUAAGGCAACCAGCAAUGUCUGUGGAAGAGGAAAAGCUUUUCCGUGUAACACCUAUCCUGUCAACAGCUGUAAUACUAAAUUCUCAGCUUUAUGCAUGAUGCUAAAGAUUUUCAAUUGGACAUAAUUUUGCAUAUGACUUUGUUUAAUUUUGCUUUAAUAGCACCAGUGGAUAUUUGGAAAUGCCAUGUGUCUCAACAAGCCAAAUUGCUAGGCAAAUUGAUUUUCCUCUAAUUUGAUAACAAGAAAUUCCCUCUGAAGCUGAGAUUUUGCCUGCCCAUUUGUUAAACCAGGUUAACAGACUUUUGCAGGUGAAUUGUAAAACGUCUAAAAGUUUUAAUUCAAGCAGAAAUGCAGGCAGUGGCACUGUGAUAAUGUUAGAAACAAUGCAUGUAUAUUGCUUUGUAGUGCACCAGAUUGCUCUGUAGGUUUAUGGGAAUGGCUACAGUCCUCUUGGAAGGUUGGAUAUUGUUAGAUUGGAAGAUAUUGGCUUCAGUUUUUGUGGCAACAAGAGUUUUCCAUAGCCCUCGCAAUGGCUGGUGGAUCUCAGUGUGGUUGAAAGCAGCACACAGAAAAAGUCCUAUUUACAUCCUUUCCUGAGACUCCAUCAGGUGAUCUGGUGACAGAGCUCUGGCUAAAUCUGAAAGGACUUUUUUUUUUCUCCCCAGAAUUCAUUUACCUGAUACUUACUUCUUCUAUUCUUCUGGUGACAAUUGCAAAAGUUUAAUGGAAAAAUAAUUAUUAUUUCCACUUCAAUUAUAGUUGGGUUUAUUUCUUCUGCAUUGUAGCAAUUUUGCAUUGUAGGCCUUUGAUUCAAUAGAAUAAAAUCCUGUCUUUGAAAAUAAGAAAGCUGGGUGAUCAAACAUGGUCAAAUCAUGAUAGGAUGCUUCAAAAGUAAGUUUACUGUGUUAAAUGUUUUGUUUUGGGUUUUUUUUUUUUUUUUGUUUGGUUUGGUUUGGAUUUUUUGGAAAGCAGCAGAUACAUGGCAACUAUCUCCCACUAAAUGUAAUUUGGGUAAUUUAUUAUAAUUUUAUAGUAUGUUCAGACUUCAGUUUAGAAAAUAUUUAGGUUAGUUUCAACACUGGUUUUACUAAGUUAAUGUUACCACAUUAGCCUAGACCCUCACCAGAACAUGAAAAAUCUCAGGUAAUAAACCUCUGUUGUUUUCUACUUAGUUAUCAAAGGAUAAGAAUGAUGGAAUAAUUUGUUAAAGGUAUGAAAAUUUCAGUCAAUCACAUGUUGAUUUUGUGACUUCUGGAGAUUUUUUUUUUUUUGCUACUAUUAGACCAAAACAUUUUCAGCAUGCACCGAGCCCUAGAUAAGUUUCUGUGUGCAUUGGCAGGAAUCAGUAGUUUUAAAUUUGAAAAGUAGUCUUCCUAAAUUGUUACAGUUAUAAAAACAUUUGCUUUUUGCAGAUUUUAUAGAUGUUCCCACUUUGGGAAUAGUUUUUACAUUUUCAGCGUCCCAUAUAUGCUAUGACAGCACAGUUCUAAUACUGUAAACAUUUUUGGUCAUCCAGUUUUUAAUGAAAAUUUGUAGUUACUAAAAUAUUAAUGUGAUGAGUUGUUUUGUACAAGCCAUAUCUUUUAAGAAGUAAAAGGUGAAUUUUAGGCUUGAGUUGCUGUACUGUGAUCUCUGGGGCUUUGUGUGGGCCCAGACCCUCUGCCCAUGGCUGCAGGAUCAGAAUUCAGCCAUGAGCCUCCCUCUUCCAAACCACCCCUGCAACAAAACCUUGCCAUUGAUAUGAAGCCAAAUCCAGCUUAAGCUGAAAAAGAUACAGCUCUAGUUGAGCAAAUGGUGUUCUGUGCCUGUGUGCCCACUCUGACUUUAUUUGCAAAUCUGAUUUACAGGCUGUGGCAGUGGGUAAUUUGGAGAACUGCAAACAUACAACCACAGUUGAAAAGUUCAUCACCUGCUUGACAGUUCUACUCUGCCAUGCAGGGCAAGGAGUUGUUCUGUAGCCAUCACUUUCACUGCUGGGAAGAAAUGAUGUGCAAAGAGACUUCAUCCUGAUGACUUUGGCAUUUGUGUGAAACCACAAAGUGGUAGAUGCAAGAGGCAGGAUUGCAAGCUCUGAAGUUGAAUCACAGAAUGGAUCAGGUUGGAACAGACCACAGUGAUGUGAUCCAACUUCCCUGCUCAACCAGGGCCAUCCCAGAGCACAUGGCAGAGGACUGUGUUCAGUUAGAUCCUGAAUAUCUCCAGUGAUGGACACUCCAUGCCCUCUCUGGGCAAUCCAGUGCAUGAUCACCCACACAUUAAAGAAGUUCUUCCUUGUUUCUGCCCACUGCCUCUUGUUCUAUUGCUUGGCUCCCUCCUCUUGGUAUUUCACUUCAGAUACUUACUAACAAUGAUGAGGUCUCCUCUCAGUCUUCUUUUGAAGCUGAAGGCCCAGUUCUCUCAACAUUCCUCAUAAGUGAGAUGCUCCAGUCCCUUAACCCUCUUUCUUGCCCUCCACUGGACCUGCUUCAGGAGCUCCAAGUCUCUCUUGUCCUGAGGAGCCCAGAACUGGGCACAGAACUCCAGAUGUGCCUCAUCGGGGCUGAGCAGAGGGGCAGGAUCAGCCCAAGUGACCUGCUGGCAAUGCUGUUCCUAAUGCACCCCAGGAUGCCAUUUGCCAUCUUGGCCACAAGGGCACUGAUGGCUCAGGGACAGCUUGUUGUCCACCAGGACCCCCAAGUCCUUCUCCACAGAGUUGCUUUCCAUGUAUACAUAUAUAUAUAUAUAUAUAUAUAUAUAUACACAGAGUUCCAGUUCAAAUCUUGACAAGAUAGAUCUACUUUUGUUUAUUGCUGCUCUGGUAAGAGACCUUCAUGGCAAUUGUAUUCAUCAUGAUUCACCCUGUUUUAUAAUAGAAUUUGGCCUCAAGCUCCUGUGCAUGGCUGCAUUUCAGAGUUGCCAAAUGCAUGUCCUGGUCAUCACUUUGAAUAAGUUAUUUCAUUGCAAACCCAUGAGUAACAGUAUUUCUAAUUUCCACUUUGUUGCUUAAGCAACCUGUUUGGAUCUGUACCUUCAUGUAGAUGUCACUGAAGACCUCCAACAAAUGUGUGGUUACUGGCAAACUAAAAAAUGUUGCAACUUCAGCUCUGUAGAAGCCUCUGCUCAUACCUACGCUCUUGGGUUAAACAAGAACCAUUUAUUACACAAUUAGGAAUCCUCUCUAUAUGGCUUUAUUUGAGUUCUGCUCUGACAAGGACAAGUGUCACACACACAAAAAAAUAA